rnacentral:rRNA from 1 species
GAAUGCGAUCAUACCAGCACUAACGUACCGGGAUCCCAUCAGAACUCCGAAGUUAAGCAUGCUUGGGCGAGAGUAGUACUAGGAUGGGUGACGCCCUACAGAAAUCUCGUGUUGCAUCCC